rnacentral:ncRNA from 2 species
UUGCAUAAAGCAAGGAUAGGUGCCUACACAGGCAUAAUAGAGAAGACCGGUGCAAUACCGGCGCGGUCACGCCACUGUAAUGGGGAGCGAACUCAAAAAAUACCACUGGAAUGAAUGUUCUGGGAAGGUUUGAGUAAGCAAAGAGCCAAAGCCAGGAGAACUGCCUAUCUGAUAAUCACCGU